AUUCUCGUGGUCUAGUGGUAACGCACCGGUCUAGUGAAUGGGAGUCGUGAGUUCAAGUCUCACCGAGAGGA
rnacentral:tRNA from 1 species